rnacentral:lncRNA from 1 species
UAAGAAGUGCGUUUCACCCUCUGCCAUGAUUAUGAAACCUCCCCAGCCAUGUGGAACUGUGGGGUCUCCCUAUGUUGCCCAGGCUGAACUCCAACUCCUGGGCUCAAGCAAUGCUCCCAUCUCAGUCUCCCAAAGUGCUGAGAUUACAGUCUCGCUCUGUUGCCCAGUCUGGAGUACAGGUAUGAUCUUGGCUUACUGCAAGCUCCGCCUCCCAGGUUCAAGCAAUUCUUCUGCCUCAGUCUCCCAAGCAGCUGGGAUUAUAGGCCCGAGAAGGCAAGGGAGGGAGCAGGAACCAGAACCAGAGGAGGAAGAAGACAGCAGGAGAGAUGUUCUUCAGGGUGUCUGAUGUGAUGCCUGGAACUGCAGCAGCCAUUUUGCAACUGUGAGGGAAGCCAGUGGAGUCAAAACUGACCUACUGUGGAUGGAAAUACAAAUAGACAGAAAGAAUUAGGUUCUUGAUAACUUCAUGGAGCUUCUCUAAGAGCCUGUCCUACAUCCAGGUUUUUUUUUUAAUGAAAUAAUAAAGAUUCUUGUUGUUUGAACCACUUUCAGUUGGAUUUCCAGUUACUUGCAGCCCAAAGCCUUCUUUUUAAAUUUUUUACCCAAAGGCACCAAAACAUUCUAAUGGACACAGCUGCCAUCUACCAUGUUCAAGCCCCUGUGCAAGCUCUCUUAGCUUCCACUGAGUGCAGGUCAAGCCUUCCUGUUUCUUCUGCUGACCACAGAUUUGCACUAACUGCAUCAGAUUCAGUGAGAAUUUCAAAUCCUUUUUCAAUCUAUGAGAAAAUAAACAGACAGAAAUAGGUCAUGGGGGUGUUCUUCCCUUAACUUAGGAGAAACUGAGGAGAAAUCCAGCUAAAGGCAGUGGAGAUAGUGGGGGCAUUAAUCUGAGUCUCUGGGAUGGUCAGGAGAGAGAGCAAAGGUAAGAGACUGGUUCCCAUUACCCACCUCCCUGAGAGGUGUGGUGCAUUCACAGAGACCCAGGUUCUGAGCCUUCAUUUCCCUGUCCAUCAGCUAAAGGGUAAAGUGGGCCCCACCCAAUCUGG